UUAUCCUUAUUUUAUUUUAUCCUUAAUGAGCAAGCCUGUGGUGACGGUGGCAAUGAAAAACUCCCUGAGAUGAUAUGAGGAAGAAACCUUGAGAGGAACCAGGCUCAGAAGGGAACCCAUCCUCAUUUGGGUGACACUAAACAGUAAAUAAUGUAACUGUAACUGAUUAAUGUCCUUUCUACAACAGCAAUCAAUGGCCCAUGAGGAACUAUUAGGUCAGUCUAGUUUCUGAGGUCAUUAUAGACACUAAUUCCUUGCUGUCACAAGCUGAUCGAUGAAAUGGCAGAUCUGUGAUGGUGUGAAAGUCCCCAAGUGGCUCUGUCCAUGGCUGUCUCCUGGUCCACACAGAUCCAUCCACAGCAUCAGUGGGCACCAACAAGAGACUCCGACCAGGGGUAGGGCAGUGGUCACACUGGAAUCUGGCAAACACUGGGAGCUCAGGAGUGGGGUGUAUAGCUCGACAGAGAGAGAAAGAGAAAGAUAUUAAGUAUGAUUCUGAUCAUGUGAUGUUUAAGACAAUGUAGAUUAUGUUUAAAGUGCAGGCAGGGACUCCGGCAAGACUAGCUAUGACAGCAUAACUAAAAGGGAGAGCCAGAAGGUCACAGACAUGAAGGCUUCCCGGGACAUAAAGCGUCCAACCACUUCACAGUCAGUGACCUGAGCGACUUGUGAGGGUGGUAAGGAGACAGCAUCCAAACAUCCCAGUACACCAAACACUCUAUGAACCUUCCAGAUCUGCUCCUUUACCUAAGAAAACUAUACAUUAAAAGCUUGACUAAACAAAUGUGUCUUCAGCCUAGACUUAAACACUGAGACUGUGUCUGAAUCCCCAACACUAAUUGGAAGGCUGUUCCAUAAUUGUGGGGCUUUUAAAGAGAAAGCUCCGCCCCCUGCUGUAGCCGUUGCUACUUGAGGUACUACCAAGUAACCAGCACCCUUUGAUCGGAGUAGGCGUGGCAGACUUUAAAAGACUAAAAGAUCACUCAGAUACUGUGGCGCGAGACCAUUUAGUGCUUUAUAGGUAAGUAACAGAAUUUUAUAAUCAUAUUUAUAAUCAAUUUAUAAUCAUGACUGGGAGCCAAUAUAGUGUGGCUAAAAUAAUAGUGAUGUGUUCAUAUCACCUGGUUCUAGUUAGGACUCUAGCUGCUGCAUUCUGGAUUAACUGGAGCUUGUUCCUGCUCCUACUGGAACAUCCAGACAGUAAGGCUUUACAAUAAUCCAACCUAGAGGUAACAAAAGCAUGAACUAGUUUCUCUGCAUCAUGAAGUGACAUCAUAUUUCUUAUUUUGGCAAAAUUUCUGAGAUAAAUGAAGGCUACCCGUGUGAUAUUAUCUACAUGAGCUUCAAACCAAAGACCAGCAUCAAUAAUCACACCAAGAUCUUUUACUGCUGGACAAGAUAAAACAGAAAGACCCUCCACCAUUACUCUGUAAUCAGAAAGCUUACUUCUAGCUGCAUGUGUUCCUAGUACAAGCACCUCUGUCCUGUCAGAGUUAAAGGAGGAAGUUAGUGACCAUCCACUGUCUAAUGUCCUUUACACAUUCUUGUCUUAAUAAGCUGGUGUCUCUCAUCUGACUUCACUGAAACAUAUAGCUGUGUGUCAUCGGAAUAACAAUGGAAGCUAAUACCAUGUUUACAAGUAAAUAUCAUUCAAGGACUUCAUCCUUUCAGCACUACUGAUCUGCCAUCAUUUAAAGAGCUGAUAAAGAACAGAAAGUGACUGCUACCAUGAGUGAAGUUGAAUGGAUUGUAACCACAGUGGAUUGUUGGACUGCACAUAGAAAGUGAUUCAUUGGUGUCACUGCUCACUGGAUAAACCCUGAAAUUCUAAUGUUUAAUCCAUCAGAAAUGCUGUUCUUGACAGAGUGGGCCAACACAGUGCAUCCAGUUGCAAAAGUACUGAACAACUUCACAGCUCGGAUGGCUGCUGCCUAGUGUCCAUCAGUUAAGCUUGCAACUUCAGUGACUCCACCAUUCUCUCAGUUUCCUUUCAAGAGAACUCAACACUGCAACAUGGCUGAUGCUAUGGGAAUGCUAAUACCAAUGCCGUCACACACCGGGAGAUGUCUGUCCUGGAGAUCAUGAAAGGGCACAAAGAAGCAGGGAGCAGAGCACCAUUAGCCCUGUAAGACCCAGGAGUGAGGUCCAGGUCCAGGUUACAUAAGCUGAUAAGGGUGUGCAGAAAGGACCAACCCACCACAGCACAAAUUUGAAUGACCCUAACCAGAGUGCUGGACAACACCUCACCUAGUGGAGUAAGCCGUAAUGCCUAGAGGAGAAGCCACACAACACGCCUCAUUUACAUUUAUAUUUACAUUUUUGGCAUUUGGGAGGCACUCUUAUACAGAGUGACGUACGAAAGUGUUCUGAAGACUCUGUCAAUGAAUACAUUAAUACUGGUUCAAUAGGUCACAAACUUAGAAUACCAUCAGCCUAAAAACUGAUUUGUUUUGUUUAUUUAUUUUUAUGUACAUACAUCAAUACAUAAAACAAACAGGGAAAAAUAAGAGCUAGUUUAAAUGCUUCAGGAAGAGGUAGGUCAUUUGAAGACUCGGCUGUACGAACAUCUAGGGGAAGUUCAUUCCACCACAUCAGUGCCUUGGUGUAUACCUACCUGGUACCCUGAGAGAUAGUGGGACCAGUCAAGCAGUGCUAGUGAAUUGGAGGGAGCAAGGUGCAGUGCAAGGAGUAAUAAGAACUUUGAGGUAAGAUGGUGCUGGUCCUUUCUUAACUUUGUAGGCAAGCAUCAGUGUUUUCAAGGAAGGAACAGUGGUGAACCGGAGACAGGGUCAUGGGCGGUCAAGGCUCAUUGAUGCACGUGGGGAGCGAAGGCUGGCCCGUGUGAUCCGAUCCAACAGACAAGCUACUGUUGCUCAAACUGCUGAACAAGCUAAUGCUGGUUACUGAUAGAAAGGUGUCAGAAUACACAGUGCAGGACGGGUCAGGGCUGUUUUGGCAGCAAAAGGGAGACCAAGACGAUAAGCAGGUGGUCAUAAUGUUAUGCCUGAUCGGUGUAUGUAUGCUUCUGGACCCAUAUCCACAGAUCACCUUUUGAUGUUCUUGGCUUGACACUUUUCCUUUGUGUUGUUUUGUUUGUACAUUAUAUAGUAGAAUGAAUAAACUGCACUUGCUUCUGCCUGUAAGGUAUCUGUAAAAUACACUGACUCACAAUUUAUUUACGAUGCCU